AGCUCGAGUUUCUCUUCAAAACCUGCAUAAAUCUUUCGCCUUUUACUAAAGAUUUCCAUGGAGGGGAACUUUUUGCGAGUGAUCUGUAUUUUUGGAGGCUCUGAUCACAGCAGAGCU
rnacentral:snRNA from 1 species